rnacentral:ncRNA from 1 species
GCUCCGAAAAGGCAAAACGGGUGAAAACCCGCGACGCAGAGUGAUGGGCCUACGGCCACACCCCUGGUGGCUAUGGCAGCCACA